ensembl:snRNA U6 U6 spliceosomal RNA
AUGCUCACCUCAGCAGCACAUAAACAAAUGGAAAGGAUACAGAGAAGAUUAACAUGGUCCCUGUGCAAGAAUGACAUGCAAGGGGGCUAGAGAGAUGACUCAGCAAU